rnacentral:rRNA from 1 species
UACGUAGGCAGCAAGCGUUGUUCGGAGUUACUGGGCGUAAAGGGUGUGUAGGCGGUUAUUUAAGUUUGGUGUGAAAUCUCCCGGCUCAACCGGGAGGGUGCGCCGAAUACUGAAUGACUUGGAGUGCGGGAGAGGAAAGUGGAAUUCCUGGUGUAGCGGUGAAAUGCGUAGAGAUCGGGAGGAACAUCAGUUGCGAAGGCGGCUCUCUGGACCAGCACUGACACUGAGGCACGAAAGCGUGGGGAGCAAACAGG